UACGAUUGCUGAGACAGCAUCCCAUCCCAACGAAGGCCCGCCCGACCGGCGGGCCUUUUCUUUUGCGGGGG
rnacentral:sRNA from 1 species